GGGUCUCUGUGACAGACCAGAUUAGAGCCUGGGAGCUCUCUGGUCUAAGCAGAACCCAC
rnacentral:pre_miRNA from 1 species